rnacentral:rRNA from 1 species
CAUAGCUCAUCGAAAGAUGGGGUAAUUCUCCAUGGUAUCGCAAGAUUAAAGUACUUAACUGUACGUUUCGGGAUGAGCCUGCGUCCUAUCAGCUAGUUGGUGGGGUAAUUGCCUACCAAGGCUUUGACGGGUAGCUGGACUGAGAGGUCGAUCAGCCACAACUGCACUUAGAUACGGGCAGUACACCUACGGGUGGCAGCAACCAGGAAUAUUGCGCAAUGGACGAAAGUCUGACGCAGCGACGCCGCGUGGAGGAUGACAGCCCUCGGGUUGUAAACUCCUUUUAAUAGUCCUUUCACGGACUAUAGAAUAAGCCCCUACUAACUACGUGCCAGAAGUCUCGGUAAUACGUAGGGGGCAAGCGUUAUCCGGAUUUAUUGGGCGUAAAGUGUGCGUAGGCGCCUCGACAAGUCGUAUCUUAAAGACCAAGGCUUAACCUUGGGAGUGGAUACGAUACUGACGAGGUUGAGGAUUGUUAGGGAUGUCGGAACAGCUAGUGUAGCAGUGAAAUGCGUUGAUAUUAGCUGGAACACCAAAGGCGAAGGCAGACAUCUGGAAUUUUCCUGACGCUGAGGCACGAAAGCUAGGGUAGCGAAACAGAUUAGAUACCUGUGUAGUCCUAGCCGUAAACGAUGUCCGCUAGCUCUGUGUAUUUAUAUACGGGGUGUAAGCUAACGCGUUAAGCGGACCGCCUGGGGAGUACGGCCGCAAGGCUAAAACUCAAAGGAAUUGACGGGGACCCGCACAACCGGUGGAGCGUGUGGUUCAAUUCGAGACAAAACGAAAAACCUCACCAGGGCUUGACAUGAUACCGUUUAUGCUUUAAGAAACUAGAGCAAAUCCGCAAGGAUGGUACCACAGGUGCUUCAUGGCUGUCGUCAGCUCGUGCCGUGAGGUGUUCCCUUAAGUGGGGAAACGAGC